GGGGCCGUAGCUCAGUUGGGAGAGCGCCACGCUGGCAGCGUGGAGGUCACGGGUUCGAGCCCCGUCGGCUCCA
rnacentral:tRNA from 2 species